rnacentral:misc_RNA from 1 species
UUCAAGUCAAAUUGUUGACUUUCUUAUGCUUAAUAGGUUUGGGAAUUUCAAUUUCACCCACAUAUCACAUUUUGGUUGCUUAAUUUGUUACUUAUGGUUGCCCCUUCAAUUUUUAGGUCUCCUAGGCACAAUUUCAAAUUUUCAGUUUUGAUGUCAUGUUUUGUACUGUUCUAUUGGUUAUGUUGCUGUUAGAAUUUGACAAAGUGUUCUUCAUAAAACUUGUUCCUUAUUAUCUUAACUUUAAUUUCCUUUUUGAAUCACUCCAUUUGGAAUUUUGUAGCCCAAGUUAUGGCCAUUUGAACAUGGCUGCCCAGAUUGGUCUAACCCAGAUUUCUGGGCACCUAAUUUGGUUCUGGCAGUUUUGGACCACUAACUUUGGGUGACAAUUUCACUUGGUUAUGGGCAGAAUUUGAGCUGGUGUUUUUCAUAAAAGUUGUAGUGUUAUAUCAUACCUUUU